GCUAUAGAGUGGCGUUUUGGUUGAGCGCGGGCUCCUGGUAAAGUUUAUUGUUUCAUUCUUGGUCAAGCAGCCAGGCGUCACCGUGUUAAUCUCACAUCAUCACGUUUGAGUUGCAUUCAUAGCAGCGUUGCUUUGGAGUGUACAGAAUGACAUGCGCACCGGUUUUAAAGCAGAGCAUGUCAUUCAGAUUACAAGUUAGUUAUAAAACAGAGCUAGCUGAAGUUUUGAUACGGUAGGUUGAUCCCAUAGACCGUAUAUACUAUGGACAACUUGGUUCCGCCUUCCAUCAGUACACAGAUUUUAAGCCGAAAAGCUCUCUGUAUUUCUGCGAUUUUUCUCCACUUCCUGAAACCAACAUUGCACAGUAGCGUUGUUCGCAUUCGGCAGGAGAGUCGCCGAGAGUCGCUGUGAUGACGCUCGGCUCAAACAGCGUAUCCCCGGGUGAGCUACGCAAUCUUCGUACGCUCAUAGGCUGCAUCAAGUGUCAAUCAUAGAAAACAAGAACCCCCUAAUGACUUUUAAAAACUGAGCUGCACAGAAAAAAGAGGACUUGAGCACAAACCAGUCUUAUAGUGACUACAUGUCAACAUCGCAACUGGGGGGAGAAAACCCUAGCCCUAACCCUAACACAGAUUCUAUAUACAGUCUAUGGUUGUUUGGAAGUUUCUCUUGCAAAACCAGCAACAUUUCUGCAAGAUCUCACACUUUUUUUUCUGAUUCGCAAAGUCUCCUUCAAGUCUGCAUGGUCAGAAUCUAAAAGUUAAACUUUGCUGGAGAACAAGAGGAGAGCUUGUUCAGGCCUGUCACUGAGCUGUGUUCACUCGGCUGUAUUUUAACCUGACAGAAAUGCUCCCUCAUUCAGAUGUCUCUAAACUCUCCUGCUUCAGAUGUCUGUGUGCAGAGUUACUCCUCUGUGUGCUCAUUUCACAGCUCUGUGCAUGCAAAAUUUAUAAAACUAAGUAAAGGCUGUGUCCUGUCCUCUGCUGCACAACGACUUCAUGCCUCUGUAAUCUUCACAGGAACAGAAACUUUCUCAGUGUAUGAAAAACAAUAUCCAGUUUUUUUGAUGUUAUUAGAAUUGUAUCUCGCCAGUACUUUAAAGCCCAUUGAAAUGAGCUUUUUCCUCUCUGUAAUUUACCAUCAGGGCCUUUUUAUUGCUCUGCUCUCAGAACCUGUAAAUGAUUGAAUAACUAAAUAACAUUUUCAAAUAGCUUCACCAGUCUCUGUUAUUUUCAUUACUGUUGGUCUGAGAGGGCUCUGCUUGAAUUCGGGUGGAUUGAAGUCUGCACUGACAUCAUUAAACUGAGAUUAAUCAGUGGAUUUGAUAUAAAAACCCGCAGACAUAUGUUCAAUUAGCACCAAAAUUAAUACUAUGACUUGGUUUUAUUUAUUUUGUAUCCUGAAAAGAGAAAAAAAAAGUAAAAAUGGAGGCCAUUGCUUCAAGUCCAUUUAUGCACUCAGUCUAAUUACACCAUUGGUUAGGCUUUGAAUAGUAAAUAAUUUGAACACAGGGUUUUAUUCAUCCCACUUUCACCAAAUAACAUAAAAUUGUGAGUUUAGCCUUGAUGUUUUAAUUUGAUAUUAUACUCUAGUACGAAAUCCUUUCAAAAAGGUACAAAUUACUUCAGCUCAUCUCAUAAAAGGGGCAUCAAUGUGAGCUUUCAGAGCACUUAACAGUUUAAUCGAAUGUCCUCCGUCACACCUCAGACUGCUGUUGGUCUCAUGCUCCGCCGUGGAAAUGAAACAUUCUCCGAAUUCCUGAUCAUCUGCUCCCAUUGAGGUCACAGGCGAUGCCUCGUUUACAGCAUCUCUCUGCUGCAGUGUUGUAAUUAUUUUCCCAACCAGGCUGCUCAGAGCAGCUCAGAUGAGUCAACAUUACACUCAUAGAGUACGUCUGCUGGUAUAUCUGCGAUUAUAACACGUCUACGCAGGGUUUAAUUAUGCCAUGAGGUGUUUUUGGAGCAAUCAACAGAUUUGGGUAAGCUUUAUUCAUUAGGCUUUUAGCACUCCAUAGAGCGGAGUUUUAUGACAGAAACCCAUGCUUGGUCCUGAUUAGCCUGUGGAGAGCACUUAUUGAUUUUCCCCUUAUGGCCUCGCAAUCAGUGUAGAAUCAGGAUGAAACAUCCGACUCUCCACUGACAACUCCCACAUCGGUAAAUUAGGACUAAAAUCCUCACCACACUCCAUGCACUCCUGAAAUGUGCUAUUUUUAUGUGCUGUAUGACUCAUUUUUUGACCACAAAAAAGUGAGUUAAUCAUUAAUGGAGCAGCAAUAAUCUGUGGCACUGUCAGAGGGAACAAUCUCAAUUACAAGUCUAGAUCUGCAUAUGUCCUGGUUCCUGUUCAUGGUCUGAGUACCAUCGUCCAGUCAAGUGUCAGCAGGCUUUGAUGUAUGAAGGUAAAACUUGAGUGACCAAAAAGCUGAUCACUGUCUCAAGAAAGCAAACAAAGUGACUUCCAAACAUCCUGGGAUGCAUCUAAAUUAAAAAUGGUGCCUCCACUCAACAAAAACCUAUUUUAAGAAUUGUUUUCUUCCUCUCUUGAGGACAGACUUAAUAAAGCUCGAUUUUUUUUUUUUUACAAACCGGCUUCAUGAUGCUGUAAUUUCAGCAAACUUGGAUUCCAUUAACUGCAAGUGCGUCACAGUCUUUUUCGGAUAUAUAUCUAAUGAAACUGAGACUCAGCAGAAACAGAUGGACAGACACUCCUUCAGGGAAUUUAACAAACAGAAAUGUCACUCUGCAGACAUAUCUAGAGAGGUGAUACCACUUUAAUGUCUGUAAGACUGUAUAUCACAAAUUCUCAACGUCCCUUUUUAUAUCUACUUCGGACAUGGAUGUUGAUCUAAAAAACAAUUAUUGAAGUUUCUGACUUUCAUUUAAUGUUUUUUUUUAACAAUAUUAAUUUUGCCUUCAUUUCAGAUAGAAACAAAUUAGGGUUAGAAACUGGGAUCUCAGAGUGAGACGGAGGCGGACAACAUAAGCAAGAGCCAACCGCCUUGGUAAAUUUGAAGCGAUCUGUGGAGCUUUGCAAAUAUGAAUUUGGGAUUUGUCUUGUACUGAAUUUGUAUAUCGGGGUUCUCUCUUGCAGCAGCUUAAGGGGACAGACUGUUGGACUUAGAGCAGGCUUCAACUUUAAGAUUGGGUACACUCUACCAGACAAUCAGGCGGAUUUAAGGCUGGAUUUCCCCCCCAUUCUGCUCAAAUCUGAUAUCUUUAUAAUUAAUCAUGUUCAGUAUUUAUAUGCUCAGAAAUCCUGUUGUGUGGGGGAAACCCAGAGGACAGUCAAGAAUGCACUCUGUGGAACAAAACAAUAGUCCAUUUGACUUAAGAAGGAAGCUCCACAAAUACACAGUGGCAUGAAACUCGAAAUUAGAUCGAUGUCAGAACUGACAUGGUUAGCUUAACAACCAUCCUGUUAUCCUCCGUGUUUGUUUAGCUUGUAGUUUUGACCAAAACAGAUUUUGCAAGAUUUCCAGUUCAGAGAGUGUGGACUGGAGUUGUUAUGUGAGUAUGUGAUGUAUGAGUAUGUUAUAUAUCGUUUUCGAAAACUCGAACACUUAACCCCAAAUUCCACAUUGUACUGACAUCACACGCUGUUGGAGUGAGGCUGUUUCACUUUGUCGGAAGCACAUGGACCAGUAAGGAGAGUCUAUAAUUCUUGUGUCAGACUUAAGUAAAUCUCACACAUAAACUACCGUCACACACUUGGCGCGUUUGUCAGAGAUUUGAGCAGUUUACAUCUACUUUCUCUGAUUUGGACAAAAUAUGUUUACCUUGUGAUUUGAAAUGUUGCAAACAUGUUGUAUGGACGCCAGACUUUGUAACUUUGCAGUUGUUGUUGUAAGAAACCACUCUUCUCACUUUUAAGCAUGACUGAUGAGCUAUGAUAACAAAAUCUGAAAUUACACACUAUCCAAGCCACGGCAAAAGCUUUCUGUCGAGAUAAAAACAUGUAGGUUCUGAGCCUGACUCGUUAAAUUUUAAAAUACAUACUCCAAAUAGGAAACAUUAUAAAUAAAGCAAUGUCACUUAUGUAAGGAAGUUCCUCUUCAGCACCGCUGAGGAACAUAAGAAAGGGUAAACCAAAGACAAAUAACUGUUUUAACAUUUUUAUAUGAAUAAGUCAUAUAAAACAUGAACAGAGUUUUGCACUCUGUACUUAUAUACUUCAUUUUUUUACAUAAGAAAAAACACAUUGAACUGUCACAACAUUAAACUCUAGAAUACCUCCUAUCUAAGUAUUUAACUAGUCUUUUGGAUCAAAUAAAAUCCAGGAUGAGAGUGGCUGCUGUGUAAAUUUUUCCAUCCAGAAUGUGUUCUCGUGCUGUGUUGCCAUAGAAGCCUGGUUCAAUGUGUAAUUGCUAAUGGGCUCAUUAGUCAGGCAGAGAGAUGUGAGAGGGAAAUGUCCAAUGUUGAUGUUGAUGCAGCUUCCUCUCAUGUUCAUUGCAGUCUAUCAAUGUGGUUAAAUGCUUUUAAAGGAGCACUGGAUAUUUGUAAGUAUAUCCAAAUAAUAUCAGAAAUGUUUACAAAUUACUGUACUAUUUAAAAAACACAUUGGUAAAAAAAAUUAACUGUAAACUCACCUUUUAAGUCCUUAAAUUCUGCUCUUGGAUAUUUGGCAUUUUACGUUUGAUAUUUGCUCUUAGCUAUGCCUUACCUACUAGGCAAACAGCAGCAUCAGCAUCACUCCUUCCCUUCACCUCUGAGAUAAAACACACAGAUCUGAGUCCUGACUUCUUAAGGACUAAGCAAACAAAUAUCACUGAGUGAAGAGCUGAGGAUAGUGUGAGUAUAUAAGGUGACCAGGUCAGGAUAAAAGUGAUGUCCGUGAGGGAUUUGAAACAUAAUGCCAAAUUAUAUAAGGUUUUUACCACUGUGGUUCAGGUUCUCUUUUCUUGUUUCCAACAUUGCUUCACCAUUUCCUCCAUGUUUUUCCUUUUUUUCUUCACCCUCUUUGCAUGAGGGUAUCAAGGGCUGUGAAAGCUAGCACUAACUAAGGUGUUCUAGUCCCGUGCCUAACCCUAACCCCGAAUUUCCACCAAAUCCGGAACGGCUUUGAUCCGGAACGAUGUCAAUUUUCACCGUCUUCCAAUUCCUACCGGAUCUGUUUGUGAGGCGAAUUUCGUGGCAGAUUACUGACAGGAAUCGCGAGAACUCACAAGAACCAUUGCGAUCGCACGAUAACGAGUUGUCUAUAAAGACAGCCACAUAACCAUAUAAGCAGUAGGUUGUGUCCUUCCACUUCUAGACUUUUAGAAUCAGCAUCUCCUCAACCAUGGUGUCAUCGGGGUGAAAUGCUGUCUAAAAACCUUUCAUUCAUUUGUCCGUUUGCAUGGUGUAAAAUACGAUCCACCUGAAACACGGAGUGUUUUAUUUUGAAACGACUUCCUUUCCAGCACGGGUUAAUCUGUGCUGAAUUUAUCCAGCAUUCUCCGGCGUCAGAAAAACUAGAACGCUUGCGAUCAGCUGCGGAGUGCGGCGACCAACAGUGGAACGGAAAGAAGCUGGUGGAAAUUGACACAUUAACUUGAAUGGUUAUGAUCAGCUACGAUCGGCGGAUACGGCCUUUUCGUAGCCGUUCCAGAUGCAGUGGAAAUUGGGGGUAACCCUAACCCUAACCAUGAAUGUGUUGGCUCUCCCCUCCCAUGAUACAAGUUGUCAUAUCUGCAUUCAACUCCUCUUCUCUAGGCUAGGUCUGUUUUUUCCAGGACUUGUCACUGACUGCUUUUCCAUUCUGUACCCCUGGGGUCUUUGAUGAUGCCCUCCCUGGCCAUGGCUUUUCCAUGUAUGCACAGGAGGCUUUAGCAUUGGCUAAAAUCAGGGCUUUUUCUUCAGCUGCUUGACUGGCCCCUACUCCCCUGAACUGGUUUGAGGCAUUAAUAAUUUAGAUAGAAAAAUCUAAAAUCUCAUUGCUGAUGAUCUUGUUUACUUUUAGAUAUUAUGAAAAGAGAUUCAAAUGUUUUUAGUCUACUUUGUUCAAGUAAAAAAGACCUGAAGUGAUGACUUUUUUUGUGAUUUAUCUUUUCAAAAUAUUUUAUGGAGGCUGAUAAUAUCUUAAUUUUCAUUGAUAGCCUUUCAUUUCAGUGAUCACAAUAUUUUAACUACACCAUUAGUGCUUCAAAAGUAAAGCCAAUAAUUUAACAUUUUGUAGUCAACAUGAGCUGUUAGAUUGCUGGAGAUGCAGAGAGCGUAAUGGAUUUAGAGCACACACAGUUGCUCGGCAUGAUUGAAAAGGGUCAGUGGUCAAUGUGUUGCCAUUUUAGAUUUACCAGAACAAAGGGAGAGUAGAUUUAGCAAUGCAGCAGAUGGACAGAACCAGAAGGGUAGAAAACAUUCAUUUAAAGGUUAGCUGUCCCGGCGUUUGAUUCUCCGCCUGCAUUACUUUUUUAAUUGGUUUGAUUUUAGCACAACCUAUUUAAAGUGAUUUAAUUCAAGUAGACAUGGAAGUUGGGAAUCUUCUUUUAAAACUUGUGUACAGAGCAAAAGGGUUAUUUCAAUAAAGGUAAAUUCAAAGUCUCAAACCACGCCACAAAACCAAGUAUGUUUGGUUAGUGUACUGUUUCAAAAUGAGAAAGAAAUUUGCGUCAUACUUUUGUUUU